ACCAGGCAGAACUUGGAAAUUUUGUUCAACAGCCUUUUUGAGAUAAAUGUGUUUUUGUAAUGUAUCCACCUUGUUUUGUUGGGAAAUGACAUUUUAAAAAGUCACAUUGGGUUAUUAUGUAUAAAAAAAUGAAUUUGAUUUUUCAGUAAAUUUGACUGCUUAUAUAGGGAAAUAGGGGUAUCAAUUUCUCAACAAAAACAGCCUACAAUAUAACAAUUGAUAUAUAUUCUAAAAGAUGACCAUGAAUACAACAGGAAAUGAUAAUAACAUCUUUGGUAUCUGUUGAUAUGUAAAUGUUCUAAUGCAGUAAACUGUCAGGAAACAGCAGUUUAUUUUUGUCUUUUUGGUGUUUAGACAUACCAAAAGUGAUGCUCUUCAAUUUAAAAACCGAUAAAGGUUGUAACCAGCUGGUAAUGUUUUGACAGAAAAAUGAACUUCUGUUGUAUAUUUGUAUGCAUAAUUGAACAUUUUGAUAAGAUUUAAGAAAAGUACAUAACUAUGUGGUUUUGGGAAACUUAUUUCCCUCACCAGGAGAUUGGUGCAUACAUGUACGGAUCACUUCCAGACAGAGGUAGUUACAAUAUCUGUACGGGAAUGAGGAUUAUUUAUAAGACUGAAAUUAUUGUAUUAUUUGCUGGAAAUGUGGAAUAUGAGGAAUUUACAGCCAUUCGUGAGAAGUUUUUGAUGAUUCAGCUGGACAAAUGCUGGAAAUUAUACAGUUUUCUCCCACCUUAAAACAGUACAUGGUAUAUCAUGGACACCAAAAGCAAACUAUAAAGAUCUAAAUGCCAUAAUUUUGUGCAUCUUGAAAACUGGAAAGGCGGAUCGCUUUGAAGCAGAUGAUAGUGAUAGUGUUUAAAAGAAUUCUUUGCGACAGUUAUACCAGUUGGAACAGAUAAAAGAUACAUCAGAUGACAGACUUACAUACAUGUAGAGGAGCCUAUAAUUAGAGAAAUGGAUCAACUUGAUUUUGAAGUUAACCUACUGCAUUAAUAUGAAAAUUCAUAAGUGACUGAGCUUAAAGAAAAUCACACAUGAAACUGUAACCAGUUUGGGAGACUCAUACAACAGAACAUUUCAAUACCUAUUAAGUUUUUUAUGUAUAUGUUUGACUUUUGGUAAUAUUUUGGAAGUUACUUUAGUAAUUGAGAGACCUCAAUGUUGAAAAUGACAAUUUUGGUAGAGGACAAAGUUAGGAAAAUCAAUUUAGUUGUUUAUGAAUCUUUAUCUUUUAAAAUAUUACUGGGUGUCUGAAAGAAUAUUUCAAAAAUUUCUGAAACUAUUUAGAUAUUUAUCAUGUUUCAUGUGUUUAUAUAGGCAAAUAUUUAUACAUGUCAUUUAUGUUAUGCAAGGGUUUAUAUUAAUUUCUAAAAAGAUGUAUAUGUGUUGAUAAAAUAAGUUCCAAAUUAUUACAGAGUAACAGAAAAUGGGAUCAAUUUAUAUUAAAACAAAUCUGUUAAAAGGGAAUGAAAAGUCAAAAAUUGUAUUUUUUAAAAUAAUUGUGUUAACAUUUUUGUGCUAUUUAGAAAUAUGUACACAAAAAAAAUAAACUUUAAUAUAAGUAUCA